UUAGGAGGGAAAUCACACAAAUUCACAAUGGACACGGGAUCCAGAAAGCAUCGGGUCGGACUUUUGGAUUUGGAUCAAUCAUGAUGGAUCCUUUAUAUAUGUCUUUUUUUCUAAUUCUUCUUCCAUACUCUUCAACAAUCUUCACAACCCUAAAACCAAACCCUAGAUCAACUCAACCUUUCUGGACGCCACAGCGAUUUCUCAUCUCUCUAAUCAGAUCUUCUUCCGCUAUUGAAGAUCUUAUCAAAGAAAUUAAAGAUCUGAUUUCGGACUCCGAUAAUUCGUCAAUCAAAAGAGGUUAGUUAAGUGUUAUAGUUAUUUUAUCCUUUUUAAGUAUGUAAUAUGUAAUUUUAUCCUUUAUGUUCAUUAUUUUUUUACCUAUUAAUAUAUGUUCUGAAUGAUUUAUGGUUUGUAUUUUCUCAUGGUGAACCCUCAAUCUUUUUUGAAAUUCGGACUCGGAUUGUUAGUCUACCAAAAUAAGUUAUGUUGUUCUGAAUUUUGUAGAUCCGAUCAUAAAAUUGAAGGUAUGUUGUUUUAGUUUGUUGUUUAUCUACCGUGCAUCUUUAAUCUAAGCGAUUGAACAUUUAUAUUUUUUUUGCAAACAAUAUCAAGAUCAGAGGUUUUGUUAUCAUCAUCUACAUUCUCUGAUUUAUGUAGUGUCUAUGAACGUUAAUCAUGUCUUGGACAUUUAUCAAACUUACUGAUUUUUGUUUAUUUUGAUUUUCAUGUGAAUCCCUAAAUCUUGGAUAACAAUCGGACUCCGAUCAUUCAACAAGCAACAGAGUUCGUCGACCAAAACAGUUAUGGAUCCUAAAAACAAUGCUCCAAUCGUUUUUAAAGUUGAUUGAUGACUAUCAUCCUAUAUUUUUGGAAAUACCGUAUGAUGAGCCAGCUUAUUGUGGGAAGGAAAAGUUCCAUAUGCUCAAUGUAUUGAACUUAUUGAUGAUGACUUAUGCAACUGCAGGAGUCUGAAUCUUCUUCGAACACAAGAGUUAUGGAUCCUAAAAACAACGCUCCAAUCGUUUUUAAAAUUGAUUGAUGACUAUCAUCCUAUAUUUUUGGAAAUACCGUAUAAUGAGCGACCUUAUUGUGGGAAAGAAAAGUUCCAUAUGGCCAAUGUCUUGAAAUUAUUGAUGAUGACUUAUGCAACUGCAGGAGUCUGAAUCUUCUUCGAACACAAGACUUAGCAAGUUAGCAAGCGAAGGCAACUUUCCGAGUGAGCUGAAGGCAUUGAUAAACAAGAGGUUUGCGUUUAAGAUAGCCAUAGCUUCGUUUAAUAUAAAAUAGAAAUCAGAUGGCUACUCUGUUUCCAAGUUGACUGAAAAUCCUUCCAUCAUCAAAGAUCUUUAUACUCAUUUUGAUGUUUACCAGGCUGCUGAUGAAGAACCUUUAGAUCCUGUUGCUUCUGAUCCAAAUCCAAUUGUUAACGUUAACAUCCGGGAUUCUGUUUCCCGUGUCGUUGAUGAAGACACUCCCAUGUCCAGUUUGAACAACAGCAUCUUUACUACACCCUCUGGAGCUCAUAAUAGUUGUUCUUCAAAGAUGCUGGACAAUGAGCUGAAGCGUAAUUUGGAGACGGUUUAUGAUGUGGAUCUUUGUUCUUCUCAGUCUUCAACUAAACCGCGUCAGGGUGAUUGUGAGAACAAUGAAGGUUUGAAGAUGAAAGCAAACCUGGAAAAUUAGUAUUAACAUUUAAUAGUCAUUUCAGUUUUUUCGAACAAUUUGAGAUGUUUUCUUUUGGUUAAUUUUUUCCGGAACAUUUAUUUUAGUACUUGAUGUUUGGUUUCAUAUGGAUAUUUCGUUUAUUAUCGUGGUAUUAAAAGAUUAUUUGUUUGCUUUAA